AGUGAACGCUGGCGGUAGGCCUAACACAUGCAAGUCGAACGGCAGCACAGUAAGAGCUUGCUCUUACGGGUGGCGAGUGGCGGACGGGUGAGGAAUACAUCGGAAUCUACUUUUUCGUGGGGGAUAACGUAGGGAAACUUACGCUAAUACCGCAUACGACCUACGGGUGAAAGCAGGGGAUCUUCGGACCUUGCGCGAUUGAAUGAGCCGAUGGCGGAUUAGCUAGUUGGCGGGGUAAAGGCCCACCAAGGCGACGAUCCGUAGCUGGUCUGAGAGGAUGAUCGGCCACACUGGAACUGAGACACGGUCCAGACUCCUACGGGAGGCAGCAGUGGGGAAUAUUGGACAAUGGGCGCAAGCCUGAUCCAGCCAUACCGCGUGGGUGAAGAAGGCCUUCGGGUUGUAAAGCUCUUUUGUUGGGAAAGAAAAGCAGCAGGUUAAUACCCCGCUGUUCUGACGGUACCCAAAGAAUAAGCACCGGCUAACUUCGUG
rnacentral:rRNA from 1 species